AGCGUAGAUCCACUUACUUUUCCCCCACGGAAUUGGAAAUUCUAAUGAACGUGUAUGCCGAGCAGUUACCCAUUUUAACCAAAAAAGCAAUACCGCCGCGGCAGCGAGAGCGCGAGAGAGAGCUUGGCAGGAAAUAGCUGAACAAGUCAAUGCUUGCCUCACGAGGACUUGGCAGCAAAUGAAGUACAAAAAUAUAGUUUAAACAGCAAAUCGAAAAAAUGCAGAGGCCCGGCAGACUGGAGGGGGUCCACCACCUGCAGCCCUCACAGAGGCUGAGGAGAUGGCCCUCAGCCAACAGAGUAUGCGUCCUGUGGCUGAGGGCAUCCCUGAGGGGAGCUCCUCUGAUCCCCCCCCCCCCAGGAUAGAAGUGCCUUUACAGUAUAAGAGUUACUGAUAGCGUCAUCGCCCUACUUGAACCAGAUGCCCUCACCAACCUCCAUGCAAUUGUAACAAUUCAAAAGAUGCAAAAGGAUGCUUUGGAGAUCCAAAUUUUGGAACAUAAGUUAUAGGUGGGUGAGUUGCAAACUGGGAUAGGCUACUGUUCCCUGCUCUAAAAACAUACCCAAU
ensembl:lncRNA